AAAAAAGGAGAAAAAAAAAGAUAUGAGAGUUUCAAUAUAGCUGAUAAAAUUUAAGUCUUCUGCCUUUUGGAAAGCGUUUUUGAGUCUGGCUCAGAUUAAUCAUGAUCAAAAUGCAUUUUUGUCCUCAGGAUGCAGGAGAAUUCUUUUGUCUCAGGCCUUUGCUCAAUGACAAAGGUCAGGUCUUUGCAUCUACAGAUCUGACCUGCGGCUGCAGAAGUGCUCAAACAAGAGAAUGAGGAAAGCAAGGAGGAAUUAUCUGCAGCUAAAAGGCAAGCCUCUCAACACAGGUUAAAGCAUUUUUGCUUUCAGCUGCUGCCUCUCAUCUCAUGUUUUCUGAUCUAGCAUCUAGCUGACAGUCAGAGUCACCCUGCAAAAUGAGGCAUAACAAAGCCAGGAGACAGAGGGAAAUCGCUUCCCUCUACAUUAGUGGCUUAUGCUCAGUGCCAACGAGGAGAGGAAGGCAUUGGCUUGUUGUCUGAAGGCUUUGUCCCUUGCUAGGUAAAAGAAGAACAGCCUGAAGGUGAGAGCCUUGAGAAAAAGUCUGUUAUUUACAGGGGCCACAGAAUAGGAAGGGCAAUUGCAUAUUAUGAAGGAAAGGACCCCCUGCUUGAUCCAGGAGGAAGGCAGAAAUGCAAUCUUGAAUGAAGGCUUUCCUUGGAAGGAAAAAGCAGAAGAGGCUGGUGUUCCUGCUUAGAAGAUAAGACCAAAAGGAAAGACAAGACCAAGAAAGAGUUGCUCGGUUAGGGAGGGAAAAAUAAUCAUAGUGGUAGAAAUGAAGCAGUAUGCACCAUGAGAGCAAGCACUAAAUGUAGAAGGUGAAUGAAAGUCUUUAAGAUAGACAGUGAGACUCAGUGCUUGUUACAGCUAAUGCCAAACAAUAUUAAUUUACUCCACCAGGAUGUUGAGAAAAUUUCUUACGUGAGGAUGUCCUUUGUGAGGAAGGAAAUAUUCAUAGUGAUGCUGAAGCUUAUGACUCGAACCUGCACAUCGACAGUAACCUGCAGUGAGGAGGGCAAGAAAGAAUUAAAGGGGUGCUAGUCACAGCAGAUUUCAUCAAGGACAAAUCCCAAUAUGGUUUAAUCACUGCUCAGUUUUAAAUACUUUUUGUGAAAUAUUUGCAUUUUUAUGUCUGUUAUAGGCUUCAGUAGUUACUACCUCUUUGAUUUCCCAAAUUUGCUAUAAUAGUGUUAUGUUUAAAUACAUCUGUAUGUAUAAUAAUCUUUAACAUUGCUGAUCCUCUAUGUAAUGAAGUAGACUUUUUGCUGUUGUAAAUAGGACUGAUGUGUGAUUAAUAAACUGAGCCAAAGAGUAUUGAUACAUGGAAUUGAUGUAAACCAGGUUAGAGGAGAAGCUAAUUAACAUGCUUGAGUGAUUUGCAGUCUAAUCCUAUACAAAACAUUAGAAACCAAACUUGUGAGUACUGAAAAAAAUAAAUCCCAGCUGAAGUAUUAAAAGCAAUGCUUCCAAUUCUGCCACGGUUCGUCCCCUUAACUCCUCUUAAUAUUACAACAGGUAUGAUUUUGCAGACUAGAUGUAAGCAUUAGUAUUUAUUUUAAAACUGGAUUUAAUGUGAAAUCUGUUUUUCACAAGGAUUUUUUAAAAGAAAUGAGUGGAUUUCUCCAUCUAUUUGCAAAUCUAAACUAUUCAAUUCAAACAGUAACUGUGACGGUGUGAAAAGCUAUUUACAGGUCUGCAGCCAUCUCUGGUUUCAUCAAUUUGUUUUUCAGUCUUUGUUGUUAUUUCUUGUUUCUUAUGGAUCUCCUGGGACAGCUUCUUGCUUGAGGAGAGAAUGUCAAUAGCUCAUUCGUCCUCCAGGAUGUUUCCUCGCAACAAUGAGCUUACUCCCCAAAUUUAAUCUAGUUCUUUUGCCUCUUUUCUGUAAAAUCAAGGAAAGUAAGAAAAGUUAUUUCAGGAAACAUGAACAUCAUCUGAAUAAGUCUGCUAUGUAAUAACAGCCUGGUUUUGCUUGGUUUCUAUAAAGGGAUAUUAAAAUAGAUUAUAACUUCCAAAAAUCCAUUAGUGAAAUUCCAGGCCAUUUUAGACAUUAAGUUCACAGUACUGUAGAUGCUAGGCAAAGUUCAUCUGAGAAGGGCAUUUUGCUUUGUUUUUGUUUUUAAUCCACCAACAUAUUCAUUGAACUUGUAAUUAAAUCUUGUGUACCUGUAGGUUAAUCUGCUGGAAUGCUUAUUUAAGAACUAGUUUCUAUUUAUUUUCCUGGGGCCAUAAGAUAUUUCUUAGCCCAUGCAAUAUGAGGAUGCACUGUGACGUUUAUAGUACUGUAUUAAAAACAAAGGUAAGGAAGUAUGAGCAUGAAUGCACAAAAGAAUUUUCGUUCUAGAUGUGUUCUAGAGAGGAAUAAACUUACAUUAAGUGGA